AGGUUCAAUAAGUUGUCCAGAAAAACCUGCAGAAGCGGGAGCAAUAAGUCCAAGCCUUACGUUAGGCCUGAGACAGAGUACGCAGCGUGUCAAGAACCGGGGCCAUCCGGAAUAACACAGAACAAAGUCGAUCACACAACCCCUUACCACUAUGGGCCCCAUGAAGACCCCUUGAUGUUUUUGGUAUAUUUACGCGAUAUUGAACUCCCAGAACAACAAGAAGAAAAACCACAACCUUUGGGCAACAUCGGAGACUCGGAAGAAUUCUUCAUCACCGGACCACACAUACCAGCGACACCUCUGGACCCUGUCAACUUGUGCCUGACCUCCAGGAUUGUCCAUGUGUGUUGCUAAUAUUUGUUUUCUAAGAGUGCAUGUAGAGGAUUCAGCAGAGUAACAUGAGAAAGCAAAUAAGAGAUGCAGUGUUUGUGGAAUAGUUUAAUAUGGGGCUCAUUAGCUGGCCACUACUGAGCUCCUAGUGAUAGCUAAGUGUAGUGACUUUGCUUAAGGGAAGUCACCGAUUACAUGAUUGUAUUUUUCUAAUUUGAGAAAACCUGCACAUGAUACUUGUCCUGUUGAUGCUGAAUGCUUUAUUACUCUUAUAAUACAAUUGUUUACAAGUGUGAAGUUGCCUUACAAACCCAACAGUGAGAUCUUAAGAGAUCCACAGCCUAUGGCUCUUCAAUGGGGUGUCACAGGGUCCCUGGGGAAAAAAUUGUAAAUGUAAAAUAAUAAAAUAAAUAUUCUUCUGUAGCAAUAACAAAGUAUAACAUAAAUUAUUCUGUAGCAAUUACACAAGAAUAUCCAGUAAUCUCCAAGCCUACAAUUAAACACAUUCACUUACCGAAAAUCGGGGGCAUGUGGUGUGGCAAAUGCCUUUUACCACAAACUUAGUCACUGCUCGGUGACAUUCUGGCCUGAAAGGAGACGCUACACAGUCAGAAAUAGGGGUACGGAAGGGGUACAUUACUGUACCCCAAGGUACAAAAAUGACAUUAAUACAGUCUAAGGACAAAUAUUGGACCUCGGGGUAACUAUCUGUACCUUUUUU
ensembl:lncRNA